rnacentral:rRNA from 2 species
CCUAAUACAUGCAAGUCGAGCGAACUGAUUAGAAGCUUGCUUCUAUGACGUUAGCGGCGGACGGGUGAGUAACACGUGGGCAACCUGCCUGUAAGACUGGGAUAACUUCGGGAAACCGAAGCUAAUACCGGAUAGGAUCUUCUCCUUCAUGGGAGAUGAUUGAAAGAUGGUUUCGGCUAUCACUUACAGAUGGGCCCGCGGUGCAUUAGCUAGUUGGUGAGGUAACGGCUCACCAAGGCAACGAUGCAUAGCCGACCUGAGAGGGUGAUCGGCCACACUGGGACUGAGACACGGCCCAGACUCCUACGGGAGGCAGCAGUAGGGAAUCUUCCGCAAUGGACGAAAGUCUGACGGAGCAACGCCGCGUGAGUGAUGAAGGCUUUCGGGUCGUAAAACUCUGUUGUUAGGGAAGAACAAGUACAAGAGUAACUGCUUGUACCUUGACGGUACCUAACCAGAAAGCCACGGCUAACUACGUGCCAGCAGCCGCGGUAAUACGUAGGUGGCAAGCGUUAUCCGGAAUUAUUGGGCGUAAAGCGCGCGCAGGCGGUUUCUUAAGUCUGAUGUGAAAGCCCACGGCUCAACCGUGGAGGGUCAUUGGAAACUGGGGAACUUGAGUGCAGAAGAGAAAAGCGGAAUUCCACGUGUAGCGGUGAAAUGCGUAGAGAUGUGGAGGAACACCAGUGGCGAAGGCGGCUUUUUGGUCUGUAAC